rnacentral:rRNA from 1 species
AUUGAACGCUGGCGGCAGGCCUAACACAUGCAAGUCGAACGAGUGGCGGACGGGCGAGUAAUGUCUGGGAAACUGCCUGAUGGAGGGGGAUAACUACUGGAAACGGUAGCUAAUACCGCAUACCAUCAGAUGGGCCCAGAUGGGAUUAGCUAGUUGGUGGGGUAAAGGCUCACCAAGGCGACGAUCCCUAGCUGGCCUGAGAGUAUGACCGGCAACACUGUAACUGAGACACGGUCCAUACUCCGACGGGAGGCAGCAUUGGGGAAUAUUGCGCAAUGGGCGCAAGCCGGAUGCAGCCAUGCCGCGUGUAUGAAGAAGGCCUUCGGGUUGUAAAGUACUUUCAGCGGGGAGGCGUUACCCGCAGAAGAAGCACCGGCUAACUCCGUGCCAGCCGUCGCGGUAAUAC